rnacentral:misc_RNA from 1 species
UGCAGUCUGUGAGAGUCUCGAAGAUGAAAAUGCAACCAAGGAUAUCAAAAUUGAACUGAUGAAAGAAAGAUUUGGCUUCUUGGAAACUGAAAUUGGAGAAAUGAAGGCUCAUUUGUCUGCAUAUGCUCCAGUCAUAGCUUCUCUAAAAGACAACAUAGAAUCUCUUGAGCACAAUGCCCUUCUUUGCACAAGAUUUGUUGCGGCUUCCAAUCAUGGACAGAUGGGUGUGGAAAUGGCUAUUCAACCUCAGGAAAUGAGCAAACAAGAACUCAUAUGUGAUGAAACAGUGCCAGAUGGAAUUUCGGAAUUGCUCAAGAUACAAAAUAGAAUUAAAGCAGUUGAGAAGGCAUUGUGGUCAAAAAAAUGGAUAGGCAUGUAAUGCAGGAAAGAGAAAACACCAAUG